AUUGAACGCUGGCGGCAUGCCUUACACAUGCAAGUCGAACGGCAGCACGGGAGCAAUCCUGGUGGCGAGUGGCGAACGGGUGAGUAAUAUAUCGGAACGUGCCCAGUCGUGGGGGAUAACGUAGCGAAAGCUACGCUAAUACCGCAUACGAUCUAUGGAUGAAAGCGGGGGAUCGCAAGACCUCGCGCGAUUGGAGCGGCCGAUAUCAGAUUAGGUAGUUGGUGGGGUAAAGGCUCACCAAGCCGACGAUCUGUAGCUGGUCUGAGAGGACGACCAGCCACACUGGGACUGAGACACGGCCCAGACUCCUACGGGAGGCAGCAGUGGGGAAUUUUGGACAAUGGGCGCAAGCCUGAUCCAGCAAUGCCGCGUGCAGGAUGAAGGCCUUCGGGUUGUAAACUGCUUUUGUACGGAGCGAAAAGGCUCUCUCUAAUACAGGGGGCUCAUGACGGUACCGUAAGAAUAAGCACCGGCUAACUACGUGCCAGCAGCCGCGGUAAAAC
rnacentral:rRNA from 1 species